GUCUUUUCGACAUUAAGGCGAUGACAAAAGUUGCACGUAUAUAAUAACAUAAUGUAUACAACAAAAUAUGCAAAUAUUUAUUCUAAAAAGAAUAAGGUGUUUCAUUAAAUCCAUAAUAUAUAUACUUACAAGUACAUACUUUCAGUGUUUCAUUAGAAUAAAAAAUUAAAAAAUAAACCAUUUGAAUCCAACAAUAGUUUUCCUCUUCCUGUCAGAUAUAAGUCCUUCUAUGUCAUUUUCUGUCCACAAGUGAAUCAUAAUUAGAUGACGUAGAACAAAGCAUCAUCAUGACUCUAGAAAGUUAGUUCUUGAUAACUCGAGUAAGUUGCAUCCAUUAGAUACUAAAAUUGCAUAAAACUUAGCAUGUACUCAUGAAAAGGGAUUAGCUUAUCUACAGUUAAAAUGUAAAUAACAAAGGUAAAAAUGAACCUUUCCUAGCUCAUUGUUCACAUCUAUCGAUGCUAGUUCCUCUUAAACAAGUAAAACACACAUUCAGAAAGAAAACGUGGAUUUGGUUUUGAAAAAUACCAGACUAACAAAUAAAAGUAUUGGAAACCUAUCUACGUAUUUUCAAUUAAACUUCCACCCUAACACACACACAAAAUAUGUUAACUAUGGUUGAUUAGGACAAACUGAGCUGAUCUCACAUUCUAUUAUAGUAGAAGAGAAUUAUUAACAUAGUAAGUAGCAGUGAUGGUUAUACCAUAAAACCAUUAACUAUAUCAAUCAUUGUCAUGCACAUUUGCCAAAUUAGAUUAUUAUGUAAAAUAAGAAUACAUCAGGUUAUCGUUCUGAAAAUAUCAGGCCACAAUUGUUCCAAAUCUAGAGAGCAUUUUGUAGAAUUAUAUGGCGAUUUAGAUCAAAGAAAAUCAGAUCAUACCACUCAUUGGAGCUUUCUCAUGGAGUCUGGCAAACACUAACUGCAACAUAAAGAGGAAAAGAGCGGGUGAGAACUUUAAUGUAUUGUAAGUGCAACCAGAAGUACAAUGGUCAACUUAUCCCUGCAACCACCAAAGUUCAUAAAAAGGUUAAUGCUUAGCUCCCCAGUACCUUUGUUCUGCUCAAACAACAUUAAGGAUCAAAAACAAUUAUUACAUUAAGCAGCUAUCGGAAAAAAAUUAACGUAGAACAAGUAUAACAACAUAUACAGUAAUUAUGGCUGCACAUCAUUGCAUAAAUAAAUGAAAGAAUUCAAUCAGUUAUGAAAUUCAUGUAUACUUUGCAUCGAUGGUCACAGAUUUUACAUGUUAUCUCACUUAUCAUCACCUGCUUUGUCACGACCCAAACCCAGACACGAUCGUGAUGACGCCUCACGUGGGAACAAGGCCAGCCAACUAAACCCAAUUUAUUCUUUUGAAACAAUUAUAGUUCAUAAGCAGUUUAAUAUAAUUUACGCGUUGUUUGGAUGGUUGUUUCUUGUAUUGUAUAGUGUUGUUACCCCGGAUACAAUGUUUGUUUUGAUUGUUAACAUAAAAUUAAUUGUAGCUUAUUGUUAAAUUCAUUGUUCCGGAACAAUGAAAAACCUCAUUUUAUGAAACAACCAAAUCGGUGUGGUGGAAUUGUUUCAUAUUUUUCUUUCCAAUUAUGCCCACACUUUUUAUUCUAGAUUUGCAUUUUACCCUUUACCCUAUUAUUUAUAUUAUAUUCACCAAACUAAUAAGUACUUUGUUUCCAUCUUCUUUCUGCCGUGCAACUAGUCAACGACGGUAUUAAUAAGCACACAUAUGAAGUCAUAUGAACAUAGAAGACCAUAUGAACAUUAAUAAGCACUUUCUAUGAAGUCAUAGAAAAGGCUAAAAUCUCAGUUACUACUUCAAACUUCAGUCCAUUUUAUAGCUGGUUCAGCGAUCGACUUAUAACGGAACUAAAGCGAAGAAGAGAAAAGCCUGGAAUUAAGAGAUUGAGCUAGCACCAACACAGAAAUUGACCAAGAAAAAUCAAACAACAACAGAAAACUAACUUCCGAGUAACAAUAACAUCAAACUUCUCAAAUGACAUCCAUUUUUAAACAAAAAUCCAGAGUCGAAGUGAAACAAAAGACUAUUAUUUCGAGAUGCUAAAUAAAACUGAUAUCCAUUGAAAUCAUGAAAAAGAGAAAGAGCAAUCGAAAAGAUGAAGGAAUCUUUUGAACACUGAUAAACACCAAGAACUCUAAAAAUUUUCUUUACCUCUCAAAACUUCCGAAAACAUUCUCUCGGAAAAACCUCUGAAAAAAUCUCCCAAAAAUCCUCUCCAAAAAUCCGUCCGGAGCACCCCUUUUAUGCCCAAACCUAGAAGAUUCCUCAAAAAUCCAAAAAUAUUCCCCUCUAGAAUGAAUCCGGACAGAUGGAGAGAGGGGAUCGAUCCAAAAUCAAUCUACGGUCCCCAUUUUUCGGAUUUUAUUCUCAAAAAGCACAUGGGAGAUGAAAAAUCUGACAGAGGCCGUUAGAAUCUUGUUGAAGAGGAGCGAGGGGGAACACAUGAGUGAUUUUGAACCUCACUCGCUGGGGAUUUGGGCGUUUGAGAGUGAAUUUGGGUGAAGAAGUAGUGAACAUGGGUGUCUCUAAUCCUAGGAGAUUAGGGCUUUGUGAGUGAAAUUCGCGUGAGUAUAUCUGGGGACGGGUCCGGUUAGCGGGUGGGUUGGUCUUAUAGGGCUAGUAGUAGGGCG
rnacentral:lncRNA from 1 species